GAUGAACGCUGGCGGCGUGCCUAAUACAUGCAAGUCGAGCGAACGGACGAGAAGCUUGCUUCUCUGAUGUUAGCGGCGGACGGGUGAGUAACACGUGGAUAACCUACCUAUAAGACUGGGAUAACUUCGGGAAACCGGAGCUAAUACCGGAUGAUAUUUUGAACCGCAUGGUUCAAAAGUGAAAGACGGUCUUGCUGUCACUUAUAGAUGGAUCCGCGCUGCAUUAGCUAGUUGGUAAGGUAACGGCUUACCAAGGCAACGAUGCAUAGCCGACCUGAGAGGGGGAUUGGCCACACUGGAACUGAGACACGGUCCUGACUCCUACGGGAGGCAGCAGUAGGGAAUCUUCCGCAAUGGGCGAAAGCCUGACGGAGCAACGCCGCGUGAGUGAUGAAGGUCUUCGGAUCGUAAAACUCUGUUAUUAGGGAAGAACAUAUGUGUAAGUAACUGUGCACAUCUUGACGGUACCUAAUCAGAAAGCCACGGCUAACUACGUG
rnacentral:rRNA from 1 species